AAACAUUUAUUUUCUCCUGUGAAGGAAACUCUAUUCUCCAAUCGCAUUCAAAAGGAAAAACAAGGCUGGUGAGGACUCAGUUCUGAACUUCCCCAGGAUGGAAGUAAGCAAGUUCACUAACACAGACCCAGCAGGCUGCAGAAGUAAAAAUGACUUCAGAUAAUUGAAAACCAAGAUGCCCACGCUGAUUCCAGUUCCAUGCGAGCACACAGGCUGGAUUCAAGCCUUGCCCCACCUGUACCAACUCCCCAGGGGUCUGACUCCAUCUCUCAGAGCUGCCUCCCCUUCACCCAGAGAACCCCGAGGCCUCGGUACAGAACUAAACAGCUCAAAUGAAGCAAGCUCUAUUUUUCUUACACGUUUACUUUCAGCCCAAGCCAUAAUAUGUAGAGAAAGCCAUAUGGCCAGCAAUGACAAACACGAACAUUUGUCUGCAA